CACUCUUCUCUGAGCCUGAUGAUUCCCUGGACAACUUUCCUUUGUCAGGGACCGGUCCGGUGUCUGAGGACGUGUCUCGUCUGUUCUCGUCAGGAUGUUCCUCUGAAACCGAGCGCAGUAACCGAACAGCAUGAAUAAUCACUCUUUCUCAUGUGCCUGUGAACUGGUACCGUUGGCUGUUGGACCAGGGGGUUGGUCGCUGGUGCUGACUUCACCUUUCAGGGAAGGUCGAUCUGAAAUACACAAACGGGACCCUGUUUGUCAUGUUGGAACAGAAAGGGGACAUCUGGGACUCGACCAUCGGAUGCUGUCUCCACUGUUCUAGAGUCACGACUGGACUUGUUGCACCUAUCACCUUGUGGCAUCCUAUCACAGUACCACUGUACCUGGAGUUCACUGAGCUCCUGAGAGCGACCCAUUUUUUUCACAAAUAUUUGCAGGAACAGUGGUCAUGCUUAGGUGUUUGUAGGUGUUUUAUACACCUUUUAUUUACCUGUGGCCAUGGAAAUGAUUGGGAAACCUGAUAUCAAUUAUUUGGAUGGGUGAGUGAAUAACUUUGGCAAUAUAGUGUCUUGGAUGAUGGACAUGUUUACAAUUAUUAAAAAAAAAAAAAAAACAAUAUUUAUAUAUAGUAUAGUUCAGAAAAGUCCCAAAGUUAACUAAAAGUGGUGCAAAAUUAUAAAAUAUGAAUAAGAAUAAUAAGAAUAAAAUAAAUGUUUAUUUAACUUUUUUUCAAAAGUCAGUUAAAUGAUGACAUUAAUGUUUGUUAAAAGUAAAUGAAAUGUUGUGUUUAGGGUAAAGAGUUUUCAUUCUUAUCUUCAUCCUUCACAUGAUGACCAUCCUUUAGUUCACACUUUACCUGAAGAGAAGUUAAAGUACUGAUUGUCUCCGCUGCCCUGAUUGUCGUCACUCUCUAGCCAUAAAUCUUCAUCGUCCAAGUCAAUAGGUGUCUUCAACAAGCUAUCAGCGACCCCUAAAGCUUUUUAUAAAAAAGAAUUGGAAACG